AUUUGUUUUAAAUGUGUCAAUAAAAAAAUCACUGACGAUUACUAUACUCCCUAAUGCGAAAUUUGAGCGCAGCUGUAUACGUGUUUUCAUUUCGCGAUACAUUGGCUGGCGCGGAC
rnacentral:lncRNA from 1 species